GGGUAGCUAUAUAAUUACAAUUUUUAAUAUUAUUUUAGUAGCUUUUUCUAAGCCUAUGCUCAAAACAUCGGUUGUGUGUGUGAGUAAAAUAUGAAACCAUCACGCCCAUUGGUUUGAAGAAUCUCAAUAAGUUUAACUGGAGUGCAAACUAGGGAACAUUUCUUGAGAAAAAGACACUUGAAGUUAAGAAAUAUCUUGAAGCUAUACUGUACACAAAGGAGUUUCUUCGUGAUGAUUACAAACAUUUAGCCGAGCUUAUAUUGGUCUGGUUGUGAAGUAACAAGAUAAUGAAUUUCAGAUUUCACUAACCUAUUGCAGUACACAAUGCAAGAUUUUCUGCUAAACUCUUAUAUUAUAUGAGCAUAGAACUUUGACAAUGUUUUUACCAAUAUAAUUA
rnacentral:lncRNA from 1 species